AUACUUACCUAGCAGAGGAGACACCAUGACCAAGAAGGUGGUUCUCCCAGAGCGAGACUCAUCCAUUGCACUCUGAGUGUGUUGACCUCUGCGAUUUCCUCAAAUAGAGGAAACUCGACUGCGUAAUCUGUGGUAGUGGGGUAUUGCGUGCGCGCUUUCCCCUG